AGACCAAUUAGAAGCAAGAAGUGCAUGCUCAUUUUUAAGGUUACUAUAAUCUCCAAACAAUAGGUAAUUUAUCUACCUUUUACCGGCUCAUUGUUUGGAAUUAAAUUUCCCUUUAUAAUGAGCAGUGUCAAGAGAUAACUCAGUGUGCAUUUAAAACAAAGACUAUGUACACUGACCACCAGUCCAUUGAAAUCAAGCCCUUUGUCUUCCACAGUAGGAUGACGACAUGCCACAUUGUGGUUUUCUUUGUAUGUGUACUGUGGAUUUGUCUGAGAUUCAUGCAUGUGAGGACUACUUUGCGUUUUAGUUUUGGGCCACACUAAUUAGACUCAGGGGUUAUUAGCACCAAGGC
rnacentral:lncRNA from 1 species